rnacentral:rRNA from 1 species
GUGAGGAAUAUUGCGCAAUGGAGGCAACUCUGACGCAGCCAUGCCGCGUGCAGGAAGAAGGCGCUACGCGUUGUAAACUGCUUUUAACCGGGAAGAAACCCCAGGACGUGUCCUGGGUUGACGGUACCGGAGGAAUAAGCACCGGCUAACUUCGUGCCAGCAGCCGCGGUAAUACGAAGGGUGCAAGCGUUAUCCGGAUUCAUUGGGUUUAAAGGGUGCGUAGGCGGAGCGUUAAGUCAGUGGUGAAAUCCUGCAGCUUAACUGUAGACUUGCCAUUGAUACUGGCGCUCUUGAGUGCGCUUGAAGUGGGCGGAAUGUGCCGUGUAGCGGUGAAAUGCUUAGAUAUGGCACAGAACACCAAGUGCGAAGGCAGCUCACUAAGGCGAUACUGACGCUGAGGCACGAAAGCGUGGGGAUCGAACAGGAUUAGAUACCCCGGUAGUCC